UACGUAGGGUGCAAGCGUUGUCCGGAAUUAUUGGGCGUAAAGAGCUUGUAGGCGGUCGUACAAGUCGCGUGUGAAAGCCCCCGGCUCAACUGGGGAGGGUCACGCGAUACUGUUCGACUCGAAGGCAGGAGAGGGUAGUGGAAUUCCCGGUGUAGUGGUGAAAUGCGUAGAUAUCGGGAGGAACACCAGUGGCGAAGGCGACUACCUGGCCUGUUCUUGACGCUGAGGCGCGAAAGCGUGGGGAGCAAACAGG
rnacentral:rRNA from 1 species